rnacentral:rRNA from 1 species
UACGUAGGGCGCAAGCGUUGUCCGGAAUUAUUGGGCGUAAAGAGCUCGUAGGCGGUCUGUCACGUCUGCCGUGAAAACCCGAGGCUUAACCUCGUGGCUUGCGGUGGAUACGGGCAGACUAGAGGUAGGUAGGGGAGAACGGAAUUCCCGGUGUAGCGGUGAAAUGCGCAGAUAUCGGGAGGAACACCGGUGGCGAAGGCGGCGUCCUGGACCAAUACUGACACUGAGGAGCGAAAGCCAGGGGAGCAAACGGG